UACGGAGGGUGCGAGCGUUGUCCGGAAUCACUGGGCGUAAAGGGCGCGUAGGCGGCCCGGCAAGUCAACGGUGAAAGCUUGGGGCUCAACCCCGAGUCGGCCGUCGAUACUUCCGGGCUGGAGCACUGUAGAGGCAGGUGGAAUUCCUGGUGUAGCGGUGGAAUGCGCAGAUAUCAGGAGGAACACCAAUAGCGAAGGCAGCUCGCUGGGACGUUACUGACACUGAGGCGCGAAAGCGUGGGGAGCAAACAGG
rnacentral:rRNA from 1 species